AUUGAACGCUGGCGGCAGGCCUAACACAUGCAAGUCGAGCGGGGUUUUCGGGUCUAGCGGCGGACGGGUGAGUAAUGCGGAGGAAGCUACCCGAUAGAGGGGGGUACCAGUUGGAAACGACGGUUGAUACCGCAUAAUGUCUACGGAGCAAAGUGUGGGACCUUCGGGCCCCAUGCCAUCGGAUGCGCCUACGUAGGAUUAGCUAGUUGGUGAGGUAAUGGCUCACCAAGGCGACGAUCCCUAGCUGGUUUGAGAGGAUGAUCGAGCCACACUGGAACUGAGACGCGGUCCAGACUCCUACGGGAGGCAGCAGUGGGGAAUAUUGGACAAUGGGCGCAAGCCUGAUCCAGCCAUGCCGCGUGUGUGAAGAAGGCCUUCGGGUUGUAAAGCACUUUCAGUAAGGAGGAAGCGUUGAGUGUUAAUAGUACUCAGCGUUGACGUUACUUACAGAAGAAGCACCGGCUAACUCUGUGCCAGCCGCCGCGGUAAGAC
rnacentral:rRNA from 1 species